UACGUAGGGGGCAAGCGUUAUCCGGAUUUACUGGGCGUAAAGCGCGUGUAGGCGGUUGCGCAAGUUGGUUGUGAAAUCUCCCGGCUCAACCGGGAAACUGCAGCCAAAACUGCGCGGCUAGAGUGGCAGAGAGGAAAGUGGAAUUCCCGGUGUAGCGGUGAAAUGCGCAGAUAUCGGGAAGAACACCCGUGGCGAAGGCGGCUCUCUGGGACGGUACUGACGCUGAGACGCGAAAGCGUGGGGAGCGAACAGG
rnacentral:rRNA from 1 species